rnacentral:rRNA from 1 species
UACGGAGGGAGCUAGCGUUGUUCGGAAUUACUGGGCGUAAAGCGCGCGUAGGCGGCUUUGUAAGUUAGAGGUGAAAGCCCGGAGCUCAACUCCGGAACUGCCUUUAAAACUGCAUCGCUUGAAUCCAGGAGAGGUGAGUGGAAUUCCGAGUGUAGAGGUGAAAUUCGUAGAUAUCGGAAGAACACCAGUGGCGAGGCGGCUCACUGGACUGGUAUUGACGCUGAGGUGGCGAAAAGCGUGGGGA